UACGAAGGGGGCUAGCGUUGCUCGGAAUCACUGGGCGUAAAGCGCACGUAGGCGGAUUGCUAAGUCAGGGGUGAAAUCCUGGAGCUCAACUCCAGAACUGCCUUUGAUACUGGCGACCUUGAGUCCGGGAGAGGUGAGUGGAACUGCGAGUGUAGAGGUGAAAUUCGUAGAUAUUCGGAGGAACACCAGUGGCGAAGGCGACUUUCUGGUCUGUAACUGACGCUGAGGCGCGAAAGCGUGGGGAGCAAACAGG
rnacentral:rRNA from 1 species